UACGUAGGGUGCGAGCGUUAAUCGGAAUUACUGGGCGUAAAGCGUGCGCAGGCGGUUCGUCGUGUCUGGUGUGAAAGCCCCGGGCUUAACCUGGGAAUGGCAUGGGAAACUGGCGAACUGGAGUGUGGCAGAGGGGGGUGGAAUUCCGCGUGUAGCAGUGAAAUGCGUAGAGAUGCGGAGGAACACCGAUGGCGAAGGCAGCCCCCUGGGCUGGCACUGACGCUCAGGCACGAAAGCGUGGGGAGCAAACAGG
rnacentral:rRNA from 1 species